AUUGAACGCUGGCGGAAUGCUUUACACAUGCAAGUCGAACGGUAACAGGCCCUUCGGGGGUACGACGAGCGGCGAACGGGUGAGUAACACGUGGGUGACCUGCCCUCAGCUCUGGGAUAAGCCUGGGAAACUGGGUCUAAUACUGGAUAUGACUCCACGGUGCAUGUCGUGGGGUGGAAAGCCUUGUGCGGCUGAGGAUGGGCCCGCGGCCUAUCAGCUUGUU
rnacentral:rRNA from 1 species